rnacentral:lncRNA from 1 species
CUGCUUGGUCUGCACUGAGUGCAACUGGAUCGAUCCAACUCUGACUGCUGUGUCGUGACUUCCCUCUCGAGUGCAUGCCCUUCUUUUACUCCACUGAGCUAACACCUACUUGUCCUCACUAACUAGGCCCACACAGCACUUCCUGCAAGAAGUCUUACCCAGUCCCCUGCUGUGCUCCUAGGAAAUCCUGGGCAACACAGAGCACAGAUCAUUGUGCUUGGCAGCCUGAUGACUCUCUGAUACUUGACUUCGUGGACCCAACUCCUGCAUGGUGUUUGACAGUAGGUCAACACAGAGAGGCUCCAGUGUGUGUGGCAAUAAAGCUUUGACUGCUGCACUCCACAGGACUGGGGUGAGGAGAGCUCAGCUUGACAAAGUAGGGCAGUGUGGAGAGGAGGCCCAAGCAGGGGACCCAUUCCAGAAAGCGUAUCUCCAGCAUCCUCAGGGUAGCCAUACCAGAGAAUCCUUCCCUGGUUUGAAAGGCCCUUUGAGUGUUGGCAGAGAAAGGAGCCCUCUGGAAUUGUCGCUUUUCCCCCGGCCUGCCAUUCACCCAGAAUCCCCAUUCUUGUGGGGUCUUGAAAGGUACUUCUCUACCAGGGAAGCCUCACCCUUCUCAGCUGCCUCGGUCCACCCCCUGCAUCUGGACUGACCUCUCUCCUCUGCUGCCCAGACAGCCAGCCACUUGUAUCUUUCCAACAGUUUUGUGCUCUGGUCUUCCGGGGAGCGAGGAAAAAUACCACCUUGCUAAGUGAUGAGCUGCCUGCUGCACUUUCCCCUUGGAUUCUAAGAACCGUUCAGGCCCUGAUGGGAGAGGAGGAAAGUGGGUAGAGUCACCUGCUCAGCUUCAGACUGAG